GCACUUUUAUAUCAAUUUUAAUCACUAAUUCAUUAUUCACAUUAAGUCACUAUUCAAACUGCAAUCUUUCAUUUGUAUUUAUUAAACAGUUCAUGAGAUACAAACAUGCAUUUAAAGCAACACAACAGUCAACAAUAUGAUUACAUUUUUUUAAUAACCACAUGUAAUUUUAUACAAAACCUGUUGUGAAAAUAAUUCACACAAAAUAACCCGGUAAAUCUGUGAUUAUCUCUGAAUAUUCACAGUCUGACGGCACAACAAAACAUCAUUUAUGUUGUAUUUGAGGGGUACAUAUUUGUGACCUUGAAAUGGAACUAUAUGGUAUGCUGUGAAAUCAACCAUGUCUUCAUCAAUGACCUCAUUUGCCUGUGCAAGAUUAGGUAUUACCACCUCAUAACAGCGCAAAUCCUUCCUGAAGGCCACUGUUUCAUAUGGCUGAAUUUCAAAAAAGAAUUUCUUCUUAAUUUUCCAUAUGUCUCUAAUGAGGCUAAAUCUUGGUAUUUGGCCAUCAAAGCCAGAAAUGAUGAGUGAUUUAUGAGACAUAUACUUAUUGCUGUUUAGAGUGAGCCAUUUUAAUGACACAGCAGUCUGUACAUCUAUCCCAAAAGAAUCCCUCAGUUUUGAGCGGAUGUACUCUAUGUUGGAAGCCUCUGACACCGGGCCAAGUUCUCUGUCUUUUGUGAAUAUAGGAUGCUGGUUUCCACUGACAUUUUGAGAGCAUUCAAAUCUUUGGUUGUGCUGAAUUAAUGUUUUACAGAUGUUUUUAAAGUUUAAUUUAGCAGCCCAUCGUUUAAAAAAACGAUGUUUGGAUUCGAAGCGCAUGCACAUAUGCCUUACCAUAGGCCCCAAAGCAGCGAUUUGUGAGGGCAUAUGAAGCAGAUAAUGCUGCUUUGGUAUGAUGUUCUUUUCUGGGAAGAGCUGUUUAAAUGUUUUCAAGUGCUGCUCAAUCAGUUCUUUGAGCUGUGCAAUUGUAUGAAGCGAAAUGACUGGGGCAAGGAGAAUCUGUGUAAUCUCUACCAAUUCAAUGAUGAACUGCACAAACUCACUGUCUUUGACAUUAUUUAACAAAAAUGGCAAUAUUUUCAAAAGGACAAGCAUUUGUCCUGAUGAUUGUUUUAGUCUGUUGUCAUUUGAGGACAAUGUAGAUGCUGUGAUGGGACAUGGCCUGUCUCUUAAAUCAAGAGGUGAGUAUGGGAAACAAUACAUAGCAGAAUUGAAUGUAUCCAGAUCUAUCUGCCCACUAAGAAUGAGAUGGUUUAGCACACAUUUGAUCUCCAUCGGGGCAAUCCCUUCAAGAAUAAUGUGCAUAAUAUCUUGUGGUGUCUGCUCGAUGAGAUUGAAGCCGGGGAAAUCAACUAAUGAACUUCUUCUAUUGAUCCCAUAGGUUGUUUUUAAAUGGUUCCUUACUAAAUCUGUACUGGCCUUCUCAAUAUCACUACACUGCCUCAAAUGUCCCUCGACUGUUCUUUUGUUGAAAUAUUUCUCAUCAAAAUUUGUUUGCAUGUCUUCAGCUGUACAGUCACAAUGCCGGCAUUUGCAAAGGGCAAAACCCACACCCUCUUUGAAACCUGCAAACUCAUGUUGAGCCAGUGUAUCCCCACAAAGUGAAAUCACAGCACCAUAGAUGGUCCUUUCACCAACUGCAGUUUGAAUUUUAACACCCUGGUAUAACACAUCUAAAUCUUUUUUAAUUCUAUCUAAAAUCACAUCCACAGUAUACCUAGACAGGUCACUGGAUUUUGCAAUGGCCAGCAAUCUAAUUGCUGAUAGUUUUGACCUAUAUUUAGGAUCUAUAUUGCCUAAGGUGUAAUAAACCAUCAGUAGUUUGUUCUUUCCUGCAUGUGAUCCUAGUGGGUUGCACAGUUCAAUCUCAUCUGUGUAUAAAAUAAACUGCAAUGCAGAGGGUCUGAUGGAAAAGAGUGGGUGGUUCCUAAAAAUAUCACCAUCAACUAAGUCAUAUAAGAACCCCUCUUUACACCUCUCGGGCAUGGAGCUUAUCAUUGUAAAUAUCUGCAGAUCAGAAAACAAGUCUUCAAGGCUCUUCAAUAAGGGUACAUAGAAAAAGGAGUUUGCUUUAAUGGUAAGAGCUCCUUGGUUUUUCCCCCUGAGUCUGCAUACAGUUCGAGAUAUGACUACCUCUUCUGGCUCAACUGGGUUAAAGAAAUGCCUGAUGCUUCUGUCCUGUAGAUGUGUAGAUGAAACCUCUGAAAAGGGGUCUUUGAAAUCAUCAAAUACUGCUAGGAUCGCUGUUUGGAGCUCCUCCCUUUCAACAUGGGUUUCAAAAGCAUUCUUGGUCUGGUCUCUCAGGCGGUCUAGAAGGGAGGCUUGGUACUGUUGGACAUCAGCAAUAACACUGUUGACAUUGUCCUACAAAGAAGAAAAUACAGUAAGCCCAGGGGUGGAAUGUAACGAAGUAUUUGUACUUCGUUACUGUACUUAAGUACAUUUUUACGUAUCUGUACUUUACUUCAGUAAAAAUAAUAGUGCAUACUUUUUACUUUUACUUUGUUACAUUUUGCAGCUAUUAUCUAUACUUUUUUUUAACAGUAUUAACUUUGCAGAUAAUCCCUGGUAGAUAACUUGUCAUCCGCAGAAUUGUAAAUUCGAGUGUGAACAGUAUUACAGAGGGUAAGCACAAUAAGUACACCAGCCUUUCCAAUAAACAAAUGUUGUUGCUUAUAAUUAUUACUAGUAGUGACAUCUGUAGAGGCAUAAGUAUUACCAGUAGCUAUAUCUGCAUUCUUUAUCAAAAUGGCACAGCCUAGACAUUGAGAGACAACCCAUUGCGUGAGUACUUUUACUUUUAAUACUUAAAGUACAUUUCAAAGUAAGUACUUUUUUACUUUUACUUAAGUAUGAUUGUUGAUGUAGUACUUCUACUUUUACCUAAGUAUAUAUUUUGCUGGGUACUUGUACUUUUACUUAAGUACUAAACUUCAGUACUUCCUCCACCACUGAGUAAGCCUACUCACCUGCUUGAAUUAGUCUAGCCAUACUCUGUAGGAUUGUCCGACCAGACCAAUGCAAACCAGUUUGUUUUAUAAUAGCCUAAUUAUUUAAUUUAGUUUCUUACUUAGGGUUAUUCUUGAAGUAUUGUAACUUGUUGUGUACACAAUAUCUAAUAAGCCAAUGGUGCAAUACCUGAGAUAAGCAGCAUCUCUCGCGGAUCUUCAGAGCAAAUGCUGCUGCAUGCUUGUUUAGGCUGUGGUCCCUUCCACCAGAGGAUGCCUCCCCCUACAACAUAAUUGAGUACAGGAUUUGCUUAAACAAAUAAACAAACAUACAUUGAUAAACUCUGCUUACAUUAGCCUAUGCAAUAUACUCUGUUAUACUAGACCACUAUGAUCAAGUCAUUUUUAUAAAGCACAACAGUAUUGACCAAUAGUAAGCCUAGGCUAUAUAAUUGAGGGGGGAAGGAAAUAAUAAUAAGAAUAAUAAAUAUAAUCAUAAAGACCUAUUUAACAGCCAGUUCAAUAGGCAUCCAAACUAUUGGAAGAGCACAAGGCUCUUUUGACAUAAAGAAGCUCACCGUGCUCUGUAGAUCUGUCUGUAUCAUUUCCAAAUGUAUGUCUGUAUGUUCAGAGGCUUGGUCUUGAUUGUUGGUGCAGGUAGAACUACUGUUCUCGUUAUCCACUUGGGUAGGACUAUCCGGCCCAUCCGAUCGAUCCUCCUGUGAGGGUGCUGCCUCAACAUCCAGUCCAUCCUGUGAUGGUGCUGCCUCAACACGAUCAAAGCUAACACAGCCGCGGAAAAUAGGAGUAUCGUAAUUUUCUUGACCAAACCUAGUUGAAACAAAAUUGAGUGGCUGUGUCGGUGGCCGUCCAUUGUCCAAAAAGUCGAAGUGUUUGCGUUUCAGGUGGUAGAAAAAAGAGUUGAACACCCUGUAUUCUGCAUCACAACCAUCUAGCCCACAGGUUAUAUGGAAAUAAGGACUACGACCAUGUCUUCUACUGAUAUGGCCAAGCAGUGUUCUCAACGUCAAAGCCACAAAUACGAAACAUAUAACGCAACGCCAACUCAUUGUUAAACACCACUAAGUUUGUUGACAAGAUCUCUGAGGUAAACGCGAAUUUAGCAGCACGAACUAGGCUACCUGUGGUCAAAAGCCAUCUCCUUUUAACGGCGCGCGACGGAACAUUGGGUAUGUUCGUGAUGGAUGGUGUGUCCAUUGCGUCAGUUUUUCCCCUUUUCACUUUUAUUGCACCAUGUAAUAAAAGUGACCUAAAUCAGUUAAGAAACACAGUCAAAUACACUUGCGAUAAUUGUGGAUUACCACUGAUCACAAGAUGCUAAGUCAGAAGUGUUGUCAUAAACCACAAGUUUCUCAAACUUGGUGGCAGGACCGAAUUCACCCGAACGCAUCCCAAUGCAUCUCAAAUGUCGCUCGAGCUGCAUGACAUCGAUGUUAAGUGAAGCCAGUAUAAGAGCUGAAGUAACGCCUUUCGACUUCAAAUGAUAAAGAUGGAGCAAUUUGACCAAGAAACACUGUCACUUCUGGAAGCUGCAAGUAUUACCAAUGAGCUAUUACCCUCAUUGACACGGGAAGACCUAAGAGACCUUAUGCCAGGGCCGGAGAAUUUUCUGAGGAGAAAACACAUUUGGGAAGCUGUCCAUUCAGAGGAAAGCUCAUCCUCUGAACCAGUCACGGAUAACAACAUACCCAAGACACAAGAAGUAACGCCAGAAAAAGUAAUAAAGAUAUGUAGUCCAGAGUAUGUUGUGUACACAGAUGCAGAGCUUGAGCAUGUGCGCAAAUACUACUUUGAACUUCAUCGCAAUGGGCAAGCACAUGAGUGUGUUAUGUCCAAAGAGCUGCGAUGUCGCUUGGUCAGAAAUACUAUUACUUCAAUGAUUUCAAUUGUACGAGGCUAUGACAUGAAGGAAAGAAGAGAUUGGGGAGAGUAUCCCUCCCGUG
ensembl:lncRNA